rnacentral:rRNA from 1 species
UAAGGAAUAUUGGUCAAUGGACGCAAGUCUGAACCAGCCAUGCCGCGUGGAGGACGAAGGUCCUCUGGAUUGUAAACUUCUUUUAUCUGGGAAGAAAUGCUUUUUUUCUAAAGAGCUUGACGGUACCAGAUGAAUAAGCACCGGCUAACUCCGUG